rnacentral:rRNA from 1 species
UACGUAGUCAGCAAGCGUUGUUCGGAAUUACUGGGCGUAAAGAGUGUGUAGGCGGUGCUCUAAGUCUGUUGUGAAAUCUCCCGGCUUAACCGGGAGGGUGCGGCGGAAACUGGAGUGCUUGAGGGUGGGAGAGGUAAGCGGAAUUCCUGGUGUAGCGGUGAAAUGCGUAGAUAUCUGGAGGAACACCGGUGGCGAAGGCGGCCUGCUGGGCAGUUGCUGACACUGAGGCGCGACAGCGUGGGGAGCAAACAGG